GGCAUCACAUAAAGAUGUCAAGUUUAAACCUUGGAUAUUUUAUUAUAAGUUUGCAACAAUGAAGGUGAUAUACCUAACUUUGUUAAUUGUUUCGAUUGUCAUAAUCUCUAGUAUGGCUGAAGAAACAAGUCAAAGUGCUGUGGAUCAAAAAGAAAUUAAACAGUAUACUGAAACCGCCGAGAAAAUAGCCGAACAUCAGGAAGACUUGAAUACGGAUGCCUUAGCGCUGGUGUGGGAAGUAUGUUACAAACUUAUCGAUUUAAUUUACUGGGAAGUAUUAUAAUGGUGCCUAUCAAAUAGUAUUAAUAAUACUAUUUAAUCAGCAGAUAUUUUAAUUAAAACAAGUAUUUUGUAAUGAUAUGAUAAUAUGUCAUUCGAUAUUGUGGAGAAUUACACGAAAUAAUACCUUUUGUAUCGGAAUUAUGUAAAAUAUAAUAUGAAUAAUCAUCCUUCUGUUAUAACUCUGUUAUAUUAAAUAAAAAUCUUGUAUUAAUAAAUAUCAAUAUCAUGCAGUAACCAAUACAAAUAUAUUAUAUAAUUUAUAUCAAUCGCUUAUUAAUCUCUUUUAAUUGCAAAUCUUGAUACAUUAUAUUUUAGUAUAAUAUAUAAAUCAUUAUUUAUAUUGGUAAUAUGUUUUAAGACGCAACAAUUUUUUAUAAAAACUGAUAAUUAUUAAUAUUUAUAUGAAAAAAUUUUAUUUGACAUAAUUAUCAUAAUUUUUACUGAAAAGUAAUGGUAAUGUGAUAAAUUUGAGUCCCAGGUUGAGACGUUCUUCUUGUAAGUAAUCAAAAUUUUAUUUUGAUCAUGGUAUUUCAAUUUAUACAAAAAUCAUGAAAAUAUAAACAUAAUCCGGAAAAUU